GGGUCUCUGGAGAAGCUUAGCAUGAAGUCCCUCUGGAUCUUGAGCUGGUUUAUGGACUCAAUCGUCUCAUGGAUCUACAGGUAGAAAGACAGACACUUUCACCUGGCCCCGGUGAUGUGGGAGAGGAGGGGAAGGAGGAGGGCUCUGGGCUCUGGCCCCACCUUACUGUCCAGAGCGCUGAUUUCCUGCUGGUUGGCUGUGGAAAGGAGGAAGCUGCUCAUCUGCCCCUUCAGUGGCUCCUCUACCUCCACAUCAAUGUCAUAGCAUGCCGUCUUCUUCU